UACGUAGGGUGCAAGCGUUGUCCGGAAUUAUUGGGCGUAAAGAGCUCGUAGGCGGUCUGUCGCGUCUGCUGUGAAAAUCCAGGGCUCAACCCUGGACCUGCAGUGGGUACGGGCAGACUAGAGUGCGGUAGGGGAGAUCGGAAUUCCUGGUGUAGCGGUGAAAUGCGCAGAUAUCAGGAGGAACACCGGUGGCGAAGGCGGACCUCUGGGCCGUAACUGACGCUGAGGAGCGAAAGCAUGGGGAGCGAACAGG
rnacentral:rRNA from 1 species